GCCACUGCCGGCCACCGGCGGUGAUCUCGGGCACGGAGCGGAGCUGCCCCCGGCAGCAGCUGCCGAGGCCCAGGGCGAAUAUAUGAAUGCAGAGCUAAAUGCACAAGUAAGGCAAUAACCCAAAGCUGCAGAGAGGGUCGCUGUGGUUGGGACUGGCCUCUGUCAGGGACAAGUGGGAGCUACAGCAGCCCUUGGCCUGGGUUGAAGACAGUCUGUCUGGCCAACUCACAGUGACUUGCUGCAGGCAAGGACUGCGUGGGAAGAUGUGUGGAGCCUGGAAGGGAGCCACGUGUGAUCAGACGGCUGCGAUAAAGGAUACAGGUGCAUCAGAAAAGAUGCAGCAAGUUGUUGUGGAGUGUGCCAGUCGGUCUCUGGAGAAGUGCAGUACCGAGCAUAACACUGAAGCUCAUUUAAACAGGAUGACUGUUUCUUCAUAAUGUUUUCCUAUUAAACAUUAUUUUGGACUUAAGGAAAAUUUAUCAAAAAUGUUGGUGUGCAAGUAGUUCUAUAGGUUCAAGUUCUGUGGACUCUGUUUAAGUUCUUUGCUCUAGAAAGAGAACUUGAAUAGUAAAGGUAAGUUCUUAGUGGUCUCCCUUGCAGGAUUUUGACAGGGAAUAUAUUUAAUGUAUUCCUACCUGGCAGUGCACCGUGGGAAGGAAUUCUGCAGCUGUGUGACUUCAUCCUCUCCUGCCUGUGUCCUUUUCUCCUCAAGGGUUCUCAGAACCAUGGACUGUUUCUCAGACUGAUCUCGUGAUUCAGUUGUGUGCUAAGGGCACAAAGCCUGGUGCCUUCAGCCUUCCUGAGGAAGCAGACCUUGGCCUCCAAGGGCAGCGGCAGGGAUUUCAUUGGCAUGGUUGUUUUUACUGGGAGUUGGGGGGGACACACA